rnacentral:rRNA from 1 species
CAGUCGCCGCGGUAAUACGAAGGGUGCAAGCGUUACUCGGAAUUACCGGGCGUAAAGCGUGCGUAGGUGGUGGUUUAAGUCCGUUGUGAAAGCCCUGGGCUCAACCUGGGAAUUGCAGUGGAUACUGGAUCACUAGAGUGUGGUAGAGGAUAGUGGAAUUUCCGGUGUAGCAGUGAAAUGCGUAGAGAUCGGAAGGAACAUCUGUGGCGAAGGCGACUAUCUGGGCCAACACUGACACUGAGGCACGAAAGCGUGGGGAGCAAACAGGAUUAGAUACCCGGGUAGUCCCUGUCUCUUAUAC